rnacentral:rRNA from 1 species
AUACGUAGGGUGCAAGCGUUAAUCGGAAUUACUGGGCGUAAAGCGUGCGCAGGCGGUUUUGUAAGACAGUGGUGAAAUCCCCGGGCUCCACCUGGGAACUGCCAUUGUGACUGCAAGGCUGGAGUGCGGCAGAGGGGGAUGGAAUUCCGCGUGUAGCAGUGAAAUGCGUAGAUAUGCGGAGGAACACCGAUGGCGAAGGCAAUCCCCUGGGCCUGCACUGACGCUCAUGCACGAAAGCGUGGGGAGCAAACAGGAUUAGAUACCCUGGUAGUCCACGCCCUAAACGAUGUCAACUGGUUGUUGGGGAUUUAUUUUCUCAGUAACGAAGCUAACGCGUGAAGUUGACCGCCUGGGGAGUACGGCCGCAAGGUUAAAACUCAAAUGAAUUGACGGGG